UCCCGCUCCCUGAGACCCUAAUUUGUGAUUUCAGUUUUUGCAGCUCACAGAUUAGGCAUCUCAGGUACGGG
rnacentral:pre_miRNA from 1 species